rnacentral:tRNA from 1 species
GUACCCAUAGCUCAAUUGGUAGAGCUCCAGAUUGUGGUUCUGGCGGUUUGAGGGUUCGAGCCCCUCUGGGUACC